UACAGAGGCCCCAAGCGUUACCCGGAAUCACUGGGCGUAAAGGGUGUGUAGGCGGUUAUGUUAGUCCUCUGUGAAAGCCUCCCGGCUUAACCGGGAGAACGCAGCGGAAACGGCAUAACUUGAGGGCGCAAGAGGUGCACGGAACUCAUGGUGUAGGGGUAAUAUCCGUUGAUAUCAUGGGGAACACCGAAAGCGAAGGCAGUGCACUGGUGCGUUCCUGACGCUGAGACACGAAAGCGUGGGUCGCGAAUGGG
rnacentral:misc_RNA from 1 species